AUGACCUGAGCCGAAGUCAGACACUGAACCGACUGAGCCCCCCAGGUUACCCUGAAUAUCCUUCCUAGUUGUAUCAUUUUUCUUCAAAAUCUUCGGCCAGUUUUCCAUUCUACUCCAUGAUCUGACUGGAGCUGCUGUCAGAUGACAUGGAUGAACUCACUUGUCACGUAAAAUGACCCCUGACCCCUCCAGGAAGAUUCCGUGCCUGGCUGGCCCCACCUAUGCCAACGCGCCCAGCACCACCCGGCCAGGUGCAGCAGGCCCGCAGGAAGUGUCAGAGAAACGUCGAUCAGAAGUAAAUGCGAAGCCAGUGGCCCAUGAAGGUGAUGACGGCCCCUGAAGGCCGGUGAGCAAGAGUGAGAGAGGGUAAAAAUAAUCAUUCCGGAGAAUCUGUCUGGCCAGGCAGGAAGAAAGACCAGCGGGAAGCAGCCGCAGCUGGGAGACCACUGCAGAAGCUAUGAAAUAUUCAGGACAUGGGUGCCGAGAUGCUGGAUCAGCAGACAGACGGCGAAGGCAGACGCCACAGUGACUACGAGGGCCACACCCAUGGAUGAAGGCCACACUGAUUCAUUCUCUCUCUAGUGACUCAGGUGUGGUGGCAAUUUUCCGCCCUCAAACUCAGACACACACACCACUAACAUCAGGCUUAAGAAGGUAAUUUGCCAAGACACGCAAGGAAAUAAAGGAAAGGAACAUGUUUCUGAAUGGGCACGAGGCCACCACAGCGGCAGCUCCACCUCCAGGACCCGUGGGAUCCUCGACAUGACGGCUCGUGUCCCCCACGCGUCAUCUACCCAGCUGUGAACUAGAAGACAGCUUCGUGCCGAGGUGGCAGGUGCAGGCGGCUGGCGCUCCGGUGCCCGGGCUCCGAGGGCUUCCUGGCGGGCUCGGGACACCUGCGAGCUGGCAGACACGGCCUCCGCUGUGGGAGGAGCACCCCCCGGAGACGCCCCGGAGCCAGGCAUCUCCGGACGAGUAGGGUGGACGGCAGGUGGACUGGCCCCGGGGGCCUGCUUGAGCCCUGCUUUGGUCCUCAAUCCCUUGAAGGAACAGGCAUUUCCCAGGAACCUCCUCUGGGGCAGAUGCCUCCACCCCAUGGAGACGCUCCGCUGGCUUGGAGGCCGGCCAGCCGCGCCCUUGACCGCACGCCGCCGGUUCUCGUUUCUCGGGGCGGCCUUGCCCACGAAGAGUUAGGGGUUUUUCUGUUUCUAGGUCAUGGGAGCGCGUCUCAGUGCUGCAGCACUCUGGCCUGUCUCCUUCGGUGCUGGGAUCCUAGUGCAGGGCCGGCUGCGGGUUGGUGCUCCCAUCUCCUGCGUGGUCCUGUCCAGCCCGGGAGGGUCAUUCCUGUGCCGGCCGAUCCCGUGUGUGGCCUCUAAGUCGCUUCUCCUGGGGGUGGCGUGGCCUUGAUGGCAGGAGCCCCGGUUCGCAGGGCCUGCUCAGCACGGAUGGCGGGGGCUCCGUUUCACUUCCUGUUUCGUCAGGCCGCAGCCCGCGGAGCACAGGGCAGAGCUGGCCCCCUCCUCCCCACGCGUCAGGGACGGCAGCCCGGGGUCCUCCCCCCUAGUCCACCCCGCUGGGGUGCGAACUCGGCCGGCUCCAGGGACGCCGAUUUGGGGGUAUUUGUCAAAAUCACAAGCGCACAUAUCCCUCGGGUCCACAUCUAGCAACUUAUCCUACAGACACGCUUGUGCGUAUAAAACAACAUACAGAAGGCUACUUCUCAUCUUGCCCUCUGUAACGGCAAAGACCAUAAACAGCCUAAAUGUCUGUCACUAAGGUACUGGGAAAGUAGGUCACCGUACAGCGUGGACACCGUUCUGUGAAAAAUUCAAGCAGGCUCCGAAUGUAUUGGUGUCGAAGAGAAUGAAAUCUAAAACAGGUGAAGAGAGUAAGCGGGGGAAAAAAGGAUUCACAGGACAGUGUAUGGAAUAGGCUGCUAUUGGGGCAAACGUGUGUCUUCACUUGUAUUCUGCAUGACUGUCUCCGAACGGACACCCAGGAUACUGUGCCGUCCGUUACCUUUGAGAGGAAGGUAACUCGGUGGGUUGGAAAUAGGGAAUGAAGGGAAACUUUUCAGUAACGCUACUUUGAAUUUUGAACUAUGUGGCUAUAUUCCCAUUUAAUCAAUCAAUAAGAGAAAAAAUCCUGGGGCGCCUAGGGGCUCAGUGAGUGCAACACUUGAUUCUUGAUCUUGGCUCAGGCCAUGAUCUCACGGGUUGUGAGCUGGGGCUCCGCGUUGGGCUCUGUGCUGACA